rnacentral:tRNA from 1 species
GAGUGGCUCAGUGGUAGAUCACUCGCUUGGCACGCAGAAGGAUGCAGGUUCAAUCUCUGGCAUCUCCA